UCAAGCUACUAAGGGCAUACGGCGGAUGCCUAGGCACUAAGAGCCGAUGAAGGACGCGGUAAGCUGCGAAAAGCUACGGGGAACCGCAAGCAGGUUUUGAUCCGUAGAUGUCCGAAUGGGGAAACCCACCAGCCGUAAUGGGCUGGUAUCCUUAGGGAAGGGAACCCGGUGAACUGAAACAUCUAAGUAGCCGGAGGAAGAGAAAUCAAACGAGAUGCCCACAGUAGCGGCGAGCGAAGAGGGCAGAGCCUAAACCGGGAAGCUUCGGCUUUCCGGGGUUACGGACUCACAUAAUUCAAGUUUAUCCUAGCCGAAUUACCUGGAAAGGUAAGCCACAGAGCAUAAAAGCUGCGUAGGUUAAAGGACGAGCGAGAAGGUGAGUAUCCAGAGUACCACGAAGCACGAGGAAUUUUGUGGGAAGUCGGGGGGACCACCCUCCAAGGCUAAACACUACUUAGUGACCGAUAGCGCAUAGUACCGUGAGGGAAAGGUGAAAAGAACCGCGGGAGCGGAGUGAAAGAGAACCUGAAACCGUAUGUCUACAAGCAGUCGGAGCGCAAGCGACGGCGUGCCUAUUGAAGAAUGAGCCAACGAGUUGCGGGCACUAGCGAGGUUAAGCAGGAAAUGCGGAGCCGUAGGGAAACCGAGUCUGAAAAGGGCGAUGAGUUAGUGUUCGCAGACCCGAAACUGUAGUGAUCUACCCAUGAUCAGGUUGAAGCACAGGUAAAAUUGUGUGGAGGACCGAACCGGUGAGUGUUGAAAAACUUUCGGAUGAAUCGUGGGUAGCGGUGAAAUUCCAAUCGAACGCAGAGAUAGCUGGUUCUCCUCGAAAUAGCUUUAGGGCUAGCCUCAAGCAGUAAGCAUAGGCGGUAGAGCACUGAUCGGGAUAGGGACUGUAAUGGUUACCGAACCCUGUCAAACUACGAAUGGUUAUGCUGCAGAGCUUGGGAGUCAGACUACGAGAGAUAAGUCCCGUUGUCAAAAGGGAAACAGCCCAGACCAUCAGCUAAGGUCCCCAAUGCCAUACUAAGUGGAAAAGGAUGUGGGGUCUCAUAAACAACCAGGAUGUUGGCUCAGAAGCAGCCACCAUUUAAAGAGUGCGUAAUAGCUCACUGGUCGAGAGGCCCUGCGCCGAAGAUUCCCGGGGCUAAAGUAUGGAACCGAAGCUAUGGAUGCAAGCUUAGGCUUGCGUGGUAGAGGAGCGUUCCCAUCGGGUUGAAGUCGUACUGUAAGGUACGGUGGACUGGUGGGAAGUGAGAAUGUUGGCAUGAGUAGCGAAAAGAAAGGUGAGAAUCCUUUCCACCGAAAGCAUAAGGAUUCCUGAGCAACGAUCGUCGUCUCAGGGUAAGUCGGGACCUAAUCCGAGGCAAAGAGCGUAGGAGAUGGACAACUGGUUGAUAUUCCAGUACCGGCAGCAAUCGUUUGAACAAUGGAGUGACGCAGGAAGGCAGGUCCGCACGAGAUUGGUAGUUCGUGUGCAAGCAUGCAGGCUGGUGUACAGGCAAAUCCGUACACUGAGGCUGAGGUGUGACGCGGAGGGAACUUGUUCCCGAAGGGAUUGAGCCUACGCUGCCGAGAAAAGCUUCUAGUGAGAAAGCUGCCGCCCGUACCGUAAACCGACACAGGUAUGCGGGGAGAGAAUCCUAAGGUGCGCGGGAGAACCCUCGUUAAGGAACUCGGCAAAAUGUACCCGUAACUUCGGGAUAAGGGUAGCCAUCGUGGUGAAGGGACUUGCUCCUGGAGCCUAGGAUGGUCGCAGAGAAGAGGCCCAAGCGACUGUUAACCAGAAACACAGGUGCCUGCGAAAGAGAAAUCUGAUGUAUAGGUGCUGACACCUGCCCAGUGCUGGAAGGUUAAAGAAGGAUGUCCGGGUUCGACCCAAAGCAUUCGACUGAAGCCCCAGUGAACGGCGGCCGUAACUAUAACGGUCCUAAGGUAGCGAAAUUCCUUGUCGGGU
rnacentral:rRNA from 1 species